GAUGAACGCUGGCGGCGUGCCUAAUACAUGCAAGUCGAGCGAACAGACGAGGAUCUUGCUCCUCUUACGUUAGCGGCGGACGGGUGAGUAACACGUGGCUAACCUACCUAUAAGACUGGGAUAACUUCGGGAAACCGGAUCUAAUACCGGAUAAUAUAUUGAACCGCAUGGUUCAAUAGUGAAAGACGGUUUUGCUGUCCCUUAUAGAUGGAUCCGCGCCGCAUUAGCUAGUUGGUAAGGUAACGGCUUACCAAGGCAACGAUGCGUAGCCGACCUGAGAGGGUGAUCGGCCACACUGGAACUGAGACACGGUCCAGACUCCUACGGGAGGCAGCAGUAGGGAAUCUUCCGCAAUGGGCGAAAGCCUGACGGAGCAACGCCGCGUGAGUGAUGAAGGUCUUCGGAUCGUAAAACUCUGUUAUUAGGGAAGAACAAAUGUGUAAGUAACUAUGCACGUCUUGACGGUACCUAAUCAGAAAGCCACGGCUAACUACGUG
rnacentral:rRNA from 1 species